GCUUAACACAUGCAAGUCGAGGGGCAGCACAGGGUAGCAAUACUUGGGUGGCGACCGGCGCACGGGUGAGUAACGCGUAUGCAACUUACCUAUCAGAGGGGGAUAGCCCGGCGAAAGUCGGAUUAAUACCCCAUGAAACAGGGGUCCCGCAUGGGAAUAUUUGUUAAAGAUUCAUCGCUGAUAGAUAGGCAUGCGUUCCAUUAGGCAGUUGGCGGGGUAACGGCCCACCAAACCGACGAUGGAUAGGGGUUCUGAGAGGAAGGUCCCCCACAUUGGUACUGAGACACGGACCAAACUCCUACGGGAGGCAGCAGUGAGGAAUAUUGGUCAAUGGCCGAGAGGCUGAACCAGCCAAGUCGCGUGAAGGAAGAAGGAUCUAUGGUUUGUAAACUUCUUUUAUAGGGGAAUAAAGUGGAGGACGUGUCCUUUUUUGUAUGUACCCUAUGAAUAAGCAUCGGCUAACUCCGUGCCAGCAGCCGCGGUAAUACGGAGGAUGCGAGCGUUAUCCGGAUUUAUUGGGUUUAAAGGGUGCGUAGGUGGUGAUUUAAGUCAGCGGUGAAAGUUUGUGGCUCAACCAUAAAAUUGCCGUUGAAACUGGGUUACUUGAGUGUGUUUGAGGUAGGCGGAAUGCGUGGUGUAGCGGUGAAAUGCAUAGAUAUCACGCAGAACUCCGAUUGCGAAGGCAGCUUACUA
rnacentral:rRNA from 1 species